UACGGAGGGGGCUAGCGUUGUUCGGAAUUACUGGGCGUAAAGCGCGUGUAGGCGGAUGAGCAAGUCUGCUGUGAAAGCUCCUGGCUUAACCGGGAGUGGUCGGUGGAAACUGCUCGUCUGGAGGACGGUAGAGGUAGGUAGAAUUCCCGGUGUAGUGGUGAAAUGCGUAGAGAUCGGGAGGAACACCAGUGGCGAAGGCGACUUCCUGGCCUGUUCUUGACGCUGAGGCGCGAAAGCUAGGGGAGCAAACGGG
rnacentral:rRNA from 1 species